rnacentral:rRNA from 1 species
ACGGAAGGCAGCAGUGGGGAAUAUUGCACAAUGGGGGAAACCCUGAUGCAGCGACGCCGCGUGAAGGAUGAAGUAUCUCGGUAUGUAAACUUCUAUCAGCAGGGAAGAUAAUGACGGUACCUGACUAAGAAGCCCCGGCUAACUACGUGCCAGCAGCCGCGGUAAUACGUAGGGGGCAAGCGUUAUCCGGAUUUACUGGGUGUAAAGGGAGCGUAGACGGCAAGGUAAGUCUGAAGUGAAAUGCCGGGGCUCAACCCCGGAACUGCUUUGGAAACUAUCUCGCUCGAGUACCGGAGGGGUAAGCGGAAUUCCUAGUGUAGCGGUGAAAUGCGUAGAUAUUAGGAGGAACACCAGUGGCGAAGGCGGCUUACUGGACGGUAACUGACGUUGAGGCUCGAAAGCGUGGGGAGCAAACAGGAUUAGAUACCCUGGUA